GUGAAUCAUCAAAUCUUUGAACGCAAAUUGCACUCUCUUCGGAGAGUAUGCCUGUUUGAGGGUCAGCCUAAAAAAAAUCUACAUAGUCCCUGUUUCUCGGUGACAUUCGUCAGAAAUUGUUUCAUCUUAAACCUUCUGUUUUUAAGCGGCUUAAUAUUUUCUUUAGCAUUCUACGAACGUUUCUAAGAUUUACUUAUACUUUUAUGUUAUUGAUUUUUAUUAUACUUGUCCGUUGCAUCGGAUCACGUCUAUAAAUAUUUCGUUAA
rnacentral:misc_RNA from 1 species